CAACAACAAAUCAACCAGAGGAAAUCUAUAAAGGUAGAAGCUUUACACCCACGAUGAAUCAGAAAAUCGAAGGCGAAGAGGGUUUUGCUUUGUGGGUCGACAAAAGAACGAACUAAGGACAUUGAUUUGUUGGGUUUCGAAGAAGAAGAAGCGAAGAGUUGAGAGAAACAGAGAAUUUUGAUUUCUCGAUCAAAAAGGAAGAACGGAGAAGAAGAAGCGUUGAGUUGAGAGGAAAGAGUAAAUUUUUAAUUAAAG
rnacentral:lncRNA from 1 species